rnacentral:piRNA from 1 species
CAGCAUGAAAACAGACUGGAUAGAAGCU